UACAGAGGUCUCAAGCGUUGUUCGGAUUCAUUGGGCGUAAAGGGUGUGUAGGUGGCGCGCUAAGUCGGGUGUGAAAUUUCGGAGCUUAACUCCGAAACUGCAUUCGAUACUGACGUGCUUGAGGACUGGAGAGGAGACUGGAAUUCAUGGUGUAGCAGUGAAAUGCGUAGAGAUCAUGAGGAAGACCAGUGGCGAAGGCGGGUCUCUGGACAGUUCCUGACACUGAGACACGAAGGCCAGGGGAGCAAACGGG
rnacentral:rRNA from 1 species